rnacentral:rRNA from 1 species
AUUGAACGCUGGCGGCAGGCUUAACACAUGCAAGUCGAGCGGGGUGAUGGUGCUUGCACUAUCACUUAGCGGCGGACGGGUGAGUAAUGCUUAGGAAUCUGCCUAUUAGUGGGGGACAACAUCUCGAAAGGGAUGCUAAUACCGCAUACGUCCUACGGGAGAAAGCAGGGGAUCACUUGUGACCUUGCGCUAAUAGAUGAGCCUAAGUCGGAUUAGCUAGUUGGUGGGGUAAAGGCCUACCAAGGCGACGAUCUGUAGCGGGUCUGAGAGGAUGAUCCGCCACACUGGGACUGGGACACGGCCCAGACUCCUACGGGAGGCAGCAGUGGGGAAUAUUGGACAAUGGGGGGAACCCCGAUCCAGCCAUGCCGCGUGUGUGAAGAAGGCCUUAUGGUUGUAAAGCACUUUAAGCGAGGAGGAGGCUCUUUUGGUUAAUACCCAAGAUGAGUGGACGUUACUCGCAGAAUAAGCACCGGCUAACUCUGUGCCAGCAGCCGCGGUAA